GACGAACGCUGGCGGCGUGCCUAAUACAUGCAAGUCGAGCGGACGGAUGGGAGCUUGCUCCCAGACCGUCAGCGGCGGACGGGUGAGUAACACGUGGGCAACCUGCCUGUAAGACUGGGAUAACUCCGGGAAACCGGGGCUAAUACCGGAUAACUCUUUCCCUCACUUGAGGGAAAGCUGAAAGAUGGCAUCUCGCUAUCACUUACAGAUGGGCCCGCGGCGCAUUAGCUAGUUGGUGAGGUAACGGCUCACCAAGGCGACGAUGCGUAGCCGACCUGAGAGGGUGAUCGGCCACACUGGAACUGAGACACGGCCCAGACUCCUACGAGAGGCAGCAGUAGGGAAUCUGCCGCAAUGGACGAAAGUCUGACGGAGCAGCGCCGCGUGAGUGAUGAAGGUUUUCGGAUCGUAAAACUCUGUUGUCAGGGAAGAACAAGUACCGGAGUAACUGCCGGUACCUUGACGGUACCUGACCAGAAAGCCACGGCUAACUACGUG
rnacentral:rRNA from 1 species